AAGGGGCUUUUUAUAGCCACUGUUUUUAGAGUUACAGAUUAGGUACUCCCGAGGAUUACGGCGCCAAUCGCGCAUUGACUGGGCGUUGGGUUGCGGCGCAAGGGCUUGACGAUGGGUGCUUGCGGCACUAGGGUUUGCUAGAGACCCUAGCUUCUGAUUUGGGGUCCGUGUGUUUGGGGCUCGUUUGGCCUGCUAAAAUUUGGGCCACGAUUGUAUUUGGGUUGUGGUGUUUUGGGUCAAUGUAACGGGCUAUGGAGUAGUAUUUUAGGUACUGAUUUGGGCUUUGGUUUGUUUGGCCUUGUAAUUGUAAAUGGAUUGUUUAAAAAAAAGGACUUUUAUUUUAAUUUGGUUUAUUCAAUUAUUUUAAAA